CCACACUCCAGUACUAUAAGGGUUCCUGCAUAGGAUACCAGUCCAGGCACCUCGGCUGCAGCACGGAUAUCAUCAGUACCCCUUAAAACGGGGAGACACGCCUAACCCUCAAGAGGGUCACCAGGUGACUGGUAACUAUGAACAUCUCUUUGGCCGUGAAUCUGAAAGGGUUCCGUUAUGUAACCGUCAGAAAAUAUGGCGUAAUAUUUCACGCAAAGUAAAUGCUCUUGGAGUCGCAAAACGCACACCAGCUGAAUUACAGCGUAAAUGGUAUGACUGUAAGCAUCAAGUAAAAGAGAAGUUGUCCAAAAUACACCUACACUCCAAAAAGACAGGAGGUGGCCCACCAUCACGUAAAAAGCUAAAUGAAGUUGAAGAGAUGAUAUCCAAAACUUUUCAACGCGAACAAAUCGAAGGCAAAUAUGACCUUAUGGCUGGCUUGGAAGUGAAUUCACAGAUAAGCAUAGAAGAUGAAGGCGAACUAGAUCUUCAACAAAGUGUUAUGGAUGAAGAAGGACCUGUCCCCGAUCUAGAACAAUCAAGGGUUGAAAUAGGAGAGGAAACCCAAAAUCUAGCUUUGGAAAAUGUUGAUUUUGAUGUGUUACCCUCACUUAUUCAAAAUUACAUGUUAAAAAUUAGGCUAAUAUUCAAAACUAUAUUGAAAGUCAAAAUAAGCUAACAGCAGCAUUAGAAAAUACUUGCACAAAAAAUUGUGCCGAAAUUGCUACAGUAACUGAAGCUAUUUUGGCUCUAAAUUCAACAAUGUCCAGGAUAGCUGAUCACAUGACAGGGGCUGACCAAACUAGAGGUGAAUCGACUUCUGCAAGGUAUGUUGAAGUCCCACCACCUGAAAGUAUUGGUAAUUUUACUUUGACACAGCAAGACAAAAGUGUGAGAUUGCUUUCUCACCAUUGCAUGGAAUUGAGGACACAGCCCAAAUCUAGUCCACCAUUUUUGUCCAGUGACACUGAUUGCACUGAGGUCAAGCUAGCUAAUGUAGAUGGAGAUGCUGUGAUGCAAGAAAGUUUAGGGGACACUUCCCCUGUCCCUGGUCCCUCAAAGAUAAUUGCGAAGCCAAAGGCCGCUGAUGCUAGCUUCCUGUUGAAUAUAAAGAAACAAUUGUGUGAUACAGAAAUGGAGGAACAGUUUCAAGCACCUUCAAACAUUACCAACAAGGGAAAGGUUAAGCGUUGUAAGCGAGUGUCUGCAAGGGUUCGCCCUACCAGUGCUGUGAAA